AUACGUAGGGGGCGAGCGUUGUCCGGAAUGAUUGGGCGUAAAGGGCGCGUAGGCGGCCUGAUAAGUCUGGAGUGAAAGUCCUGCUUUCAAGGUGGGAAUUGCUUUGGAUACUGUUGGGCUGGAGUGCAGGAGAGGAAAGCGGAAUUACCGGUGUAGCGGUGAAAUGCGUAGAGAUCGGUAGGAACACCAGUGGCGAAGGCGGAUUACUGGACGAUAACUGACGGUGAGGCGCGAAAGCGUGGGGAGC
rnacentral:rRNA from 1 species